GAUGAACGCUAGCUACAGGCUUAACACAUGCAAGUCGAGGGGAAACGACAUCGAAAGCUUGCUUUUGGUGGGCGUCGACCGGCGCACGGGUGAGUAACGCGUAUCCAACCUACCUGGAAAUAAGGAAUAAUCCGUGGAAACGCGGUCUAAUGCCUUAUGUGCUCCGACGAGGACAUCUGAAUUGGAGUAAAGAUUUAUGUUUUCGGAUGGGGAUGCGUCUGAUUAGGCAGUAGGCGGGGCAACGGCCCACCUAACCGACGAUCAGUAGGGGUUCUGAGAGGAAGGUCCCCCACAUUGGAACUGAGACACGGUCCAAACUCCUACGGGAGGCAGCAGUGAGGAAUAUUGGUCAAUGGGCGAGAGCCUGAACCAGCCAAGUAGCGUGUAGGAAGACGGCCCUAUGGGUUGUAAACUGCUUUUAUGCGGGGAUAAAGUCAACUACGUGUAGUUGUUUGCAGGUACCGCAAGAAUAAGGACCGGCUAAUUCCGUG
rnacentral:rRNA from 1 species